GACGACCGCUGGCGGCGUGCUUAACACAUGCAAGUCGAACAGCGAUGGACGGGUGAGUACUGUCUGGGAAACUGCCUGAUGGAGGGGGAUAACUACUGGACACGGUAGCUAAUACCGCAUACCAUCAGAUGUGCCCAGAUGGGAUUAGAUGGUAGGUGGGGUAACGGCUCACCUAGGCGACGAGCCCUAGCUGGUCUGAGUGGAUGACCAGCCACACUGGAGCUGAGACACGGUCCAGCCUCCUACGUGAGGCAGCAGUUGGAACUAUUGCACAAUGGGCGCAAGCCUGAUGCAGCCAUGCGGCGUGUGUGAAGAAGGCCUUCGGGUUGUAAAGCACUUUCAGCGAGUAGUCGUUACCCGCAGAGGAAGCACCGGCUACCUCCGUGCCAGCAGCCGCGGUAAUAC
rnacentral:rRNA from 1 species